GUGUGCUCAGCAAGUUGAGAAACAAAGUUGUAAAAGCAUUGUGUGGGAAUCAUAUAUGUACGCACAAGAGUACGACCACAGCAACUUGUAGACUAGAUUAGAUUAGAUGUGCACCGUCUUGAAUUCAAAUUUUGAUUUUUUUUCAUUAGUUUUACAGCACUGCAGGCGAUGUAUAAUGUUAAAGCACAGGAUCUCAUAGGGGGUAAAAUCUUUUUAAGAUAGUAGUUUGACCUGCGGAAAUGUAUUUUUCUUAGGUAUUUUCUGGUAUUCUUCCACUGACUUGCACAAGAAUCAAAAUUACUUGAGUGUUAUAAACAGUCCAGGGACACAGCGAAGACUGAAAAUAAUCCGAGGAACACAAAGGUUAAAACCUUUUACUGGAACAUGACUAUCUGCACUCCACAUACGCUCUACGAGUGAGGGGGUGAUUCAGGGGAAGACACACAACAGCCAACAUUUUCUGGAAAAAUUGGAUUUCCUGUGUUACUCCUCAACAUGCUGAACUACCACCACGAGUGUUUCUUCAUUCACUAGUGGGUAAUAUCAAAAAGGUUGUGUUUGUACUAUGUAUAUGAAUAGCAGGUUGACAUGUUGUAUAGUAUACAGUAUUUUAUUAAACAAUGUACUGUAGUGUACAACCUUUAUGUCCACUUCACCAUAUGUGCCGUUUACUAUAAUGUCAUUUACAGUUUGUCGUGUACGAUAUUGUCUUUAACAUAAAAAGUGUACAUCAGCAUCAAGACCCAGGGGACUGUAACUUCAGGAGGAAGCAACAUAGAGGUAUGAUAUUAUAUUUUAGUAGAAUUUCAUAUACAGUAUAUUAAGAAAUGCAUAUUCAAAUAAACACAUUGUUACAAUGAUAUAAACCCAGGUUCAGAUUAUUCCGAAUAUUUUCAUAGAGAACAUCAUAAUCAGAACAAAACAGAACGCUAAUCUCUUUUCUAAAGGCAUUCUUCCUCAUCUCCACCCCUACUGGCCAGAUUUAAAUAAAACACUGUAGAUAACGACUUCCUUAAUUGUGACAUUUGUUAUUCGCUUUAUGCAGCAACAGCGACUUUUUCCUCUUCUCGUUCAAGCCCAAUAGUAUUUGUUGGACCAUUUUGACUCAAGUUAAGUAUUAAAACAAUGAAAGCGGCCUGAGAACAUUCAGCUGAGUGGCAAUUGGAUGGUUCGAUUUUUCUCCUUUACCACAGUAGCACAAAGAAUUAAGUAAAUAGUUGAUGGAAAUUAGUUCUGCUACAAAUAUACUAUUGCUGCACUCACUUACAUCCACAUGUCGAGUCUUGAUCCAAUGUCUUUGGCAAUUUAAUAAUCAUAUGUCGGCCCAUAUUUCUCCCAUUUUUGCAGCCAUCUGCGUUCGACCAGUCUCCUCUGUACAAGUGAUUUCCCUUUACUCUCAUUAACGCACACAAGGUGAUUAGACAUUUCCUUUGUUCUAAAUCCACUUCCAUACCUGUUUACUUCUUUAAUCUCCAUGUCCUCCUAUUGCUGUGUCCUUAGUUGUGUUCCUCUCUUCCACUGAGCUUUCUUUACUUGAUGACAGCGCAGGUAUUUGAAAUUUAUAAGCCCCACAAUCAAUGCUCUGAUUCGUACCUUUCCCGGGUCUUCAGUUUUGGAAUUGGACUCCUGUGGUUCUUCGUCUUUGAUAUUUUCUUGUUUUUUUUCCUCUGGGCUGCCCUUGUCCUAUUUCUGUGGCUUGGUGCCCUCAAGAUCUCAAGAAUUUGCCAUUGACUUCUUUUUUUCAGGCUUCUUUGAAAACAUCAAGGAACACAUACAGAAAAUAUUUCAUAGCAACAUGUUUGCAAUAACAGAUAUAUUUUCCCUAAAGCAGCACUAUUCACACACUCCUACAAAUUAGACAUUUAAAUGAAUUAUUAAAAUGCUACAUGUUCCAGUAAAAACUUGUACUGCAUCUGCUAUGAUCCCACAAAUUAUUUAUUAGUGGGAUCAUAGCAGUUCUUCUCCCCCCUCUAAAAAUGCCUUUGUCAGUUUCUAUAAUGAUGGCUAAUACUGGGCUCUACUGAAUGGGCUCUACACGCCAUUGCCACUUAGCCUUCUGUCAUACAGUAGCCUACCUACUCUGUAACACUGCUCACAAACUCACUCAAUUGACCUUCAUGGGGCGCCUGAGUCAUUGUGCCAAUAAGCAGCUAGCAUAGUUUAUGCUCUACGCCAGUCGCACCCUGUCAUUUCAAGAGCAAGUGCUAUUCAUGCAAAGUCACUGGGUGCUGUGCAAUCACGGGGUACUUUUUACAAACCUCGUCGUCGAGUGCACAGAAUGGUCGAAGAAGAACCCAAUUUGGCCGGAUUCACGGCCUCAAGUCACGCUUUUGUAACGUCUGAGCAGUAAUUUAUCGCACCUCGGUCUCUUAGCAACGACAAUAGUGACUACACGGGAUCAAGUGCAGAUUGUCUGACUGCAGCCCCUGAUUCUUGAUGAAUAAACUCAAAGAGAAACAGAAAGUCAAAGGUCAAUUUAGCUAUUUAAAGCUUUCUAGAUGGGAGACUGAAUUGUAAUGCAGACAAACAUCAUUUGAAAACCUCUACAUGAACAUAUAAACACGGUUCACAGUUCCCACACACUUAAAGCUAAACAACACGGAGACAUUUCCAAGUACAUGGAUUGCCCAUUUGGAAUUGUUCAUUAUAAUCUGCCUUCCAGUCUGUUUUAGCUGCUGAUUGUGAUUGUCAUCGCUCAGGUGUAUUUUGUAUGUACUAUUCAUAUUUUGAGUCAAGGAUUACGUUAAAUUGUUCUUUGCGUGUAUAUUAUGUCUGAAGAGAACCUCAAAAUCAAUAAGUGCGUCUCAGAAUGACACGGACGAGUGUUUUCGGUGGAUUGGGCACUGAUCAAAAGUCCUGCAGCUCCAGCCGUAAAGUAGGAUUCCAUUUUUCAACACCACAUCAUGACUACCUGCCUCCUUUCGUCCAAAUAGAAUGAUCCAGAUGAGUGUUGAUAAACGCAGUGGUUAAAAUAUACAGGGUAUGGGAAAAAUGAAAGGAGGUCCAAGAUAAGAGGCUGCCAGUGUGUCGCUUUGUAGGGGUUUUGUACCAACGCUCGGGGACGUUCUGGCUCUGAAUAAAUUCAUUCAGGCUCGAGGAUGACUGUGAAAAUUUCAGUCAUUGUUAAUAAGAAUUCUUUUUGUUCACUUGUCUUCCAUGUUGCAUUUAUAUUCUCAAUAGAGCGAUGUCUUGCACGAUAACACAGACAUUAUCAACAAAGCAUCAGUGGUCCUGUUGGUGCCUGAAUAUUUCAUGUGUUUUUUUUCUUCGUAAAAAGGCGGAGAAAAUGGAGUCAUGCAGCUGGCUUAUUUUAAUUUGCUCCAGCUCAUGUUUGAUUAAUGCCAGUUUUUCUUGUCAGAGCUCAUGCAGCACCAUUAUUUACACAACACCUUGCUCCAUUUGCAAAUAGCUCUUACUUUCAAAGAUUUGUAAUGGUACAUUUUUAAAUGCGUAUGAAAUAAUUAAUAUAACAAUUGGUCAAUUUUAUAAUUUGGCAUAUAUUGAAAUCAGCAGUUUCUUUACCUCAAAAUACAUGGGUUUCAUCUAAAUUUCAAUUAUGUGAUUGGUUGUGUUUUAUUGGCGGUACAUUAAUUGUCAAAUUAGCUGCGUUUCGUUUUCAUGGCAGUGAUUUCAUUGAGACCUCAUUUGAACUCUGUGUCGGGAGGGAAGAGGAGGAAACAUUAAAAGGGUUUCAAAAGUCCAACAAAGCCAAACAGACGUCCAUAUUCGUAGCCAGCAAAGCGUUGGUGGAACACCUCAGCGUUCAUACAGCAACCCUGUGACCGCCGAAGCGCUAUUCCCAUCAUGCUCUUUCCAUUGGAUGGAUGUUCAAAUACAGCAUUUCAACAAUUUCAGUGGACCACAUCCAUAAAGACCCCCCCCCCCUCUCUCUCUCUCUCUCUCUGUGUUGCUGUCUCUGUCUCUCUCCCUUUUUCACUCACCCUUUCAAUCUUGCUCUCUUUUUCACUCGCGGUGUCUCAUUUUCCCUUGUGCAGUAUGACAUAGUCCAUUAUCUGCUCUUAGUACUAAUUGGUGUGUUAACGCCAUACUGUGGGUGACACAGUGAGGGAGAGAGAGAGAGAGAGAGAGAGAGAGAGGGAGGGAGAGACACAGGAUGAAUAUGGAUGAGGCGCAUGCAGUGGGGGCGAGGGGGGCUCUGGGGGAGGCAAGUUCGAAGUGAUUCUGCGGGAGUUAGAAAGAAUGGGAGGCCAAGGUAAAUGUUUUCAGCUACACAAGUGGUUAAGAGCAGCAUGGCGAAAUGACGAGUGAAGGGGGAGAAAAAAAAGAGAGAACCAUUCUGUAAUGGCUAGUGGUUGUUUUUCCUUCAGUUGGCCUUCUCUUUCCCUUUCUCUCUCCCUUUCUGUCCUGCUCUCACCGUCACCACUUUCAACCCAAUUAUCCACUCUCUCUGGCGCCACUGGCAGCAUAUGGAAAUGUAAAUUGCAAGUGAGAUGGUUUUUUUGUUUUUUUUCAAAGCUGUGGAAGGUAAGCAGCUCUUGAGGAUGUGAAGAGUAGGAGGAAGAAAAAGAAGAGAUGACAAACAACUGAAACUGAAGGACCACCUUUGGUCCCAAUAGCUUGUCGCUGUUGCUGCUCUAUCAGAUACACAAAUCCACCCGAGGAAGAAAAUUGAGUAGACUGAGGCUGAUGUCUGCCGCGCACACAAACACACACACACACACACACAUACAGGAAAGUUUAAAAAAACGGGUGGUGUAGAAUGUGCAUGCAUUUGCCAUGAUAUUUACAACAUCAGUCGAUACUGGACAGUCUCAGUUGGUAGAAUUUGCAUAAGGAUACGCUCCUUAAAUGGGCCUCGGCGUUCUGUCAUGCUCACAUGCCCAGUGCCGAAUUUACACACUUAAUGAGAUGCAGAGACUCCAACGCAGUUGCAGCACAGAGGUACACUUCCUCUGCGCUUGAGAGGCUCUUCAUACGGGGGCCCGGAUGAGCCCUCGGGCUGGUGAAUAGCUGCCGAGGCUCAGGAUGCGGAGAUCAAAAGGUGCAUCUUCUUCCAAUCAUGUGACAUUGAGACAUGUACGGGCAGAUUAUUCAGAUAAGCAGGCCCAUCCUCAGGGGGGUGUAGGCAAAAUGGAGGCGAGUGUUUUGUUCAUUAUCAUUAAGAUCUGGCUUUUCCUCUGUUCACCUCUCUUCUCUCCACGUGCUUAUGUUCCACCCCCGCAGUGCUGAUGAAGCCAACUUCUCAGAUCUGCAAUUUGCUCAAUUAUUUUCAAUUAUCCCGCCAUCGCUGCUUCUAUCAUUCCCCUUAGUUCAAUUGUGAGCAGAAAUCACUUGUUGAUUGACAGCAAAGGCCAAUUAGAACUGGGAGAAAAAGGCAAACCUCUACGGUAAUUAGUGCUGAUUGGUGUCACGAAGACAUUUUACAGGCUCUACCCACAGAAGUGAAACCCUUGUUUUUACCACUCAGCCGCUCUUAUCACCGGCACACUGUGUGUUUUAGUUUGAGUCCUGUUUCGACAGUUUAGAGUUAGCAGAAUUACGUAUAGUUAAAUGUUACUUUCCACAGCUAAAUUAAAUGGAGUGCCAUGUGUUCUUUCAAAAGGAAGUUUUGAGAUAGUGUGAAUUUCUAUCCAGCCACAGCAUCAUGUCUGUGUGCCUUUAGAACAUUAACUUUAAGGUAUCUCUCCAGAAGACUUCAGAAAGACUGGUCACAUGAGGGCUGAGUGAUGAACUGCUUUUGAGCACGACAGAGACCCACUAAUUCAAUAUGCAUCCGGCAGUUUUUCUGUCUGGGUUUGUUCCACAUGCUUCCUAGUGGCGUAAUGUAGUGUAACCUCAGGCAAAAUGAAACAUAUUUUUCUUCACAUACUUUCAUUUUGGUUUUAAAUCUGUGGAUAUUAUAUGUUUUAUCAGGUUUUGUGCACAAUAAUCCAUUUAUUUACAAUCUGUUAUGAAACGUGUGACGUGACCUUCGUACUGCUUUUGUUCUUGUAAUUUCGGGAGACAACUUUCUUAUUUUUUGCAUAUGUGUUUUUCAGGGUCAACACGGAUGCUGCUUACUGCUCAAAUUGUUGUUGUUUUUUAAAAAGAUAUAUGAAUUACAGAAUUUAUUAAAGCAUCAAACAACUAUUUUUCUGUGUCUAGUAGUAUCUACCUGUGUGUGUGUGUGUGUGUGUGUGUGCGCGAGCGCCUGUGUUUACAUUGCCGUGUGUCCAACAGCUCAGCGCUGUGCUCAUAGUUACAGAUGACGCACUAUCAGCAUCGUCAGCACCGUUAGCUGCUAGACGCCGACCUUGCAGCCACGAUGAGAAGACAAUAUGCUCUUAAAUAUUUGCAAUUACUACAUUUAACCACGACAAUAACACAAAAUAAUCAGUUUUACCGGCGUUUGCUGCCUUCAGAUUUACUCAAACCUCCGCUUAAACAAAACCAGACUAACAAAGUGUGUACUCGACGAUUAAUCCGACUUAUGAAAUGUUUUUCAUCCCAACCCUGGAUGUUCUGUUACUGCCAUUUUUUAACUGCACAAAAAUGACUUCGACCCACACACACUUUAUGUGUAAAAGAUUGCACAUUUAUCACUACAAAGAUCCUCGCUGCUGCCACGGCCAGCAUUUGCAUCUUAGGUUGUUCUCACCGCUGUGAGGUUGAACUUUUUGUUCUCUCUAGUGUGAUAGUCCUUUACUGAAACCAACUGAACCUCCUCCUCUCGGUGCAAUAACGCUUUAAGAAGCGGCUCACAUGGACCCUGGCUGCUGACUUGAACCAUUGUUUGGGAUGAGUGGGCCGCCUAUGCAAACGGUGGUUACUCAAGACUCCUCUAAUGACAUUAUGGCCCUAAUGAGUUAUAAUUGGGAGGAGAUCUUAACUUGCAGGCCUAAUUGCAUCUGAUUAAAGACAAUAUUAGUUUUACUGCUGGUAAAUUGGAUGGGGAGGGUGGUUUGGAGGAGGGUUGGAGGGAUCAAUGGUGUCCUUGUGGAAAUAUCCCAAAUGCCCCUCCAAAUAGUGAUGAAGAGUUUGAACAAAAGCACAGGAGGAAGCGUGGAGCGGGUAGGGAAAUACUCAACAUGCAGAAAUAGGGCGUUGAGAGGAACUGUGAAGUGGAAGGGAUAAGAUCAGCAUGUCUGAAGGUUAAGAACUCAUCCAGAACGACUC
ensembl:lncRNA